rnacentral:lncRNA from 1 species
CCCAGGAGGGAGUUCACCUACUCAGUGACCCCUCUCUCUACUCCCCUUCUCAAAGUGGCUAGAGCUUGCCAAGAAAGCAACCUCCCCCUCUCCCUUUCACUGUUCAUGUGUGCCACUGAUCUUAGCUGCAGAGAUGGUCCGGUGAUGAUACUACAGGCAAUUAAGCCCUUUAGUUACCAUUGAAAUGUUGAUGACAACCUCCCUCUAACGGUGUCACUAUUCUCACCCCCCCUCUCUAUCUCUCUCUCCUGCCCUUUUUCAUCCCUCCAUCCCCAGGUGCUGUGGCUGCUGAGUUUCCAUGACAAGAACACCCUGGCGGAUGCUGUGGACAAGUACUGCAUCGGGGUGCCGCCCAUUCAGUGGUUGGCAUGGAUACCACAGCUCCUGAACUUCCUGGUGGGGUCAUAGGGCAAACCCCUGCUCAACCUCAUCAGCCAGGUGGGACGAGUGUACCCCCAGGCAGUCUACUUCCCCAUCCGCACCCUCUACCUGAUGCUCAAGAUAGAGCAGAGGGAACGCUACAACAGAGAUCACGCUGAACAUUGUCAAGAAGCUGGUGAGCACGUUUGCCGUGGGGUUGGAGUCUCCAACGUGUUCACCACGUUCUCCAGCGCGGCAUCAGAGUUGCUCGCCCACCGAGCCCAGGCCACCGCUUAGGACCCUGUCUUCCAGAAGAUGAAGAGAUAUUUCACCACAUUUCAUUUGUCUGUUCUGCUGUUUUCAUUGUUUAUUUAUGUCCUCUCUUUUGGAGAAAUAUAACUCACUUUUGGAAUCUAACCAACAGUGUUGGGCCAUAGGAUUCCAGGGGUAAAUCUCAAAUCACACUCAUUUCCUUAUGUAUUGCGUUACUUUAGAACCAAGCUGCCAGACAUAACCAAGCUGCCAGACAUAACCAAGCUGCCAGACCUAGACAGACAUAACCAAGCUGCC